GGGCUGCAGUAUUUUGACUGUACAAAGGUAGCAUAAUCAAUAGUCUCUUAAUUGGUGACUUGUAUGAAAGAUUGGAUGAAAUAUAUACUGUCUCUAAUUAAUUUAUAGAAAUUAAUUUUUUAGUAAAAAAGCUAAAAUAAUUUUAAAAGACGAGAAGACCCUAUAGAGUUUAAUAAUUUAUUUAAUUAUAAUUGUUAUAUAAUUUUUAAAAUUAAAAUUAAAUAAAUUAUUUUGUUGGGGUGAUAGAAAAAUUAAAUUAACUUUUUUUAAUUAUUAACAUUAAUUUAUGAUUAAAUGAUCCAUUAAUAAUGAUUAAAAGAAAAAAUUACCUUAGGGAUAACAGCGUAAUUUUUUUUUUUAGUUCAAAUAGGAAAAAAAGUUUGCGACCUCGAUGUUGGAUUAA
rnacentral:rRNA from 1 species